UUGCACGCUGGCGGCAGGCUUCACCCAUGCAAGUCGAGCGGUAGCACAGGGGAGCUUGCUCCCUGGGUGACGAGCGGCGGACGGGUGAGUAAUGUCUGGGAAACUGCCUGAUGGAGGGGGAUAACUACUGGAAACGGUAGCUAAUACCGCAUAACGUCGCAAGACCAAAGAGGGGGACCUUCGGGCCUCUUGCCAUCAGAUGUGCCCAGAUGGGAUUAGCUAGUAGGUGGGGUAAUGGCUCACCUAGGCGACGAUCCCUAGCUGGUCUGAGAGGAUGACCAGCCACACUGGAACUGAGACACGGUCCAGACUCCUACGGGAGGCAGCAGUGGGGAAUAUUGCACAAUGGGCGCAAGCCUGAUGCAGCCAUGCCGCGUGUGUGAAGAAGGCCUUCGGGUUGUAAAGCACUUUCAGCGAGGAGGAAGGUGGUGAGCUUAAUACGUUCAUCAAUUGACGUUACUCGCAGAAGAAGCACCGGCUAACUCCGUG
rnacentral:rRNA from 1 species